rnacentral:lncRNA from 1 species
CACUCAAUCUAGGUCCCAACUGCCUCCAAAUCUGAAAACAUGAAGUUUAAAAAUGUGAGUAUAAAACUCAGUGAGUGAACAUAAGAAAGGAACAAGCAAUCGAUAAGGAGAACUUGGAAAUCAUGAUCCAUUUGUCUCAAAAAUAAUGCAAUUGAUUUAAUUUCUUACUAAAAACCCCUCAUUUCAAACUUUGAUUAAUAACCUCAUAGUGUUGCAAAAACCCAUGAUCAAUCCAUGAAGUUAAAUGGGUGAAAAAUAUGUCAAAAUCAAGCAAGGUAGCAACCAUGAUAGCAAGUUUCUCACUGUAGCGACAAACAUUGUCUGUUGGCCUAUGUUUCAAUUUUUCAAGAAUGUCUCUCACUACAAAAGUCCAAUUGACAUGAUUUUCUAAUCAUUAGAAAGCUAAGAGGCUAGGCUACAACUUUUAUGUUUACCACUUUGCCCAGUUCUGACUGAAAGGUGGUCAAAAUCUUCAUCAAAGUGAAAGCACUGCACCAGAAUUUUGGAACCACCCGAGAGUUUCUCUCUGCAGCGAGGAAUUUCGCUGCAGCGAGAAACAGGGCUGGUUUGUGCCCCCACUACCCGAGAGUUUCUUGCUGUAGUGAGAAUGUAUUCUCGCUGCAGCGAGAUUCAAGGCAGAUGACAAUUAAGGGAUUUUCACAUGCCACAAAAUCCAUUCCUACCAUUUCGUACAUCAAAAUGAACGCAUUGACAUUAAUCAUGUUUCUCAAUAUUCAUUUCAAUCACAUAUUAUAAUCAUAAACUUUCUAUCAUAUACAUAUAUAAACAUAGAUAAACACGUACACCACCCCACUUCAUUCAUCGUCAUGUGCACUCCCUAUUUGCACAUUUCAAUAUCAUCAUGUUUGUGUGCUCCCCCACAUCCCCCACAUAGGCAAUAUCAUCACCAUUGUGUGCUCCCCCACAUCGCACACAAAGGCAAUAUCAUCAUCAUUGUGUGCUCCCCCACAUCGCGCGCAACUAAUGCCAUCAUUUGCUCCCCCACAUCGCGCACAUAGGAAAUAUCAUCAUCCACACUCCCGCACCCUAUCAUCACCAACAUGUGCACCCCCACAUCGAGCACAUGCACGGUUAUAAUUAUCACUCAAUAUCAACUAUCAACGCACAACACACACACACACACACAUCUAUAUAUAUACACCAACAUAAUGUAGUAGUACAUGAAUCCAUAACAGCCACAUGUCACAACAUAGAGACAAUUUAUCAAGGGCUUGUUCCCAUACAUAAUUUAAUGAAAAGCCAAGUAAAAUCAUUUAAAUACUUCAUCCCAACACAUAUGUAUUUCUUGAAAACACUUUGAUGCAAGUUCACUCACGGGUAUUUGUUGAAUCUUUAAUUGACUCUAACUUCGAUUAUUGCUUCAAACGAACAUGUGAGGCCUCGUUGGAACCAUCACACACAAUAUAACCAUCAACAAUAUAACAGCCCACAAUUCUAAUUAUUAGCCAUCUCUAACCACCUAAAAUCAACCCUAACUCAUCUCUCACCUUGGUGGACUUAUAGUUGAACUCCUUUUCAAGAGUUUUC